UGAAAGAAGCUAAUUAUGAAAAGACCAGUGCUAUAUGAUUCCAUUUAUAUGACGUACCUAGAGUAGUCAAAUUCAUAUAAAGUUAGAGUCAUGGUUGCCAGGAGCUAGAGUGACGAAGGAAAUGAGAAGUUGUUUAAUAGGUAUUGAGCUUCGGUUUUGCAAGAUGAAAAGAAUUCUGGAGAUGCACAAUAACGUGAAUGUUUUUCACUACUGAACUGUAAGCCUAAAAAUGGUUAAGAUGGUAAAUGUUACUUGUACUUUACCACAACUAAACAGAAACCCCAGAACACAGCAAGAGCUUUUCUCAUAGAAACUUGCAGGUGCUUUGGUGCUCAGGUAGGGUUGUGGAGGGUAGGGUAGGGUUGUGGAGGGUAGGGAGGCUGAGGCAGGGUGGGACUGUCGUGGUCCUUAGACUGGGGCAGUCCAGGUCUUCUGCUCUGAGUUUGGGUAGGGCCACAGGGAGGAGGUCUACAGGGAAGCAUUUCUAUUGUUCUUUUUUUUGUUGACCUGACUGCAUUGCGGCCAUUGGCCAUGGAGCGGGACUUAAGUGUUUGAUCAGGUUAAUUGAGAGAAGGAGCCGGAAUUCCUAUUAGGAACAUGGACUUGGACAGCUGCCUCCACCCUAUGAGACCCUGAGGGUCUCACUCCAAUAGUUUCUCCCCUGCUACCGCUCUUCUCCACCUAGCAAAUACAAAGAGAGAGGUAAUCCGGUCUUUGCUGAGGAACAGCCAGCCUCAGAAAAGCCAGAGCAUCCAUCAGAGACCUGUGCCUGUCUGAUCAUUUUCCAAACAGGAAACAGGCCUCAGUCAAACGUUCAGGCUCUUAGGGAUAGAUGGCAGUGGCUUCCAAAACA